GGGUCCUUAGCUCAAUUGGUUAGAGCAAUUGACUGUUAAUCAAUAGGUUGUGGGUUCGAGUCCCACAGGUCCCG
rnacentral:tRNA from 1 species